rnacentral:rRNA from 1 species
AUUGAACGCUGGCGGCAGGCUUAACACAUGCAAGUCGAGCGGUUUAGUUAGCUUGCUAACUAGAUAGCGGCGAACGGGUGAGUAAUGCCUAGGAAUCUGCCUGAUAGUGGGGGACAACGUGUGGAAACGCACGCUAAUACCGCAUACGUCUACGGGAGAAAGGGGGCUUUUCGGAGCUCUCGCUAACAGAUGAGCCUAGGUCAGAUUAGCUAGUUGGUAGGGUAAAGGCCUACCAAGGCGACGAUCUGUAGCGGGUCUGAGAGGAUGAUCCGCCACACUGGAACUGAGACACGGUCCAGACUCUACGGGAGGCAGCAGUGGGGAAUAUUGGACAAUGGGCGAAAGCCUGAUCCAGCCAUGCCGCGUGUGUGAAGAAGGCCUUUUGGUUGUAAAGCACUUUAAGCGGGGAGGAGGGCACCACGGUUAAUAUCCGUGAAUGUCGGACGUUACCCGCAGAAUAAGCACCGGCUAACUCUGUGC